rnacentral:lncRNA from 1 species
UCUCCUCUCUCAUUUCUCCUAAAUCACUUCUUCAACUUUUCCCUUUCCCUCCAAAUUCCCAAUCUGAUUCAGCCAAGAUCCUGACAACUUGGUACCAGAGCAAUCGAUUCUUGGAAGUUCCAAAGGCGAAAAGAACUCGUCUGAAAUCGUUGGAGGAACACGUCAAGAAACAAGAAGCAAGGUUGCAAGAGGCUAUGGAGGCAUUCCACGCUUCUCAGCAGCAGUUUCAAGCUGAUUUUGGCAGCGAGAUUAGGGUUGAAAUGGAGAAUUCCAACAUGAAGUUGGAGAAACUAGAGGCAUCAAUGACUGGACUAGAGCAGAAAUUCAAUUCCUUCCUGCAGAUGAUGAUGAACAGAGAAAAGAGUUCUGUAGAGGAAGCAAGGGAGAGACCACUCCUACCAACACCACCGCCUCAACAAAGGCUCAACAAGGAAGGCGAGAGCAAUGGAUAGGGGUGUGAAUCGAAAUCGAAAUCGGUAAUUCGGAACUUUAAAAUCGGAAUUUUUCGAAAUUUUGGUAUCAGAAUUUUCGAUCGAUUUCGAUUUCGAAUUCACUAAUUCCGAAUUCGAAUUCAUUCCGAAUUCAAUUAGGAAUUCGGUAAAUUCUGAUUUCACCGAAUUCAUGAAUGUAAAAAUUAUUAUUAUUAUAUAAAUAUUAUAUUACAUAUAUGUA